AAACAUAAAUACAUCUAAUCACAUCUAAUUAGCCUUUCUCACGAUGACGAAUAUCCGCCAUUUUUGGGUGGCAUCCAAUUCUCGUUAACCAAUGCAGACAAUUAAAACAAUGUGAAAAGCAAUUUUUCAAAAUAAACUAACCAUUUACAAAUCAAAUUUACCAUCAUUCGUCCAAAAAAUUAUAAAAAGUCGCUGUUAUGUGGACUUAUCUCGCAGACUUCGGCUGAAAUGCCACCCAAAAAUGGCGGCGUGAGAAAGGCUAAAUUAGCCUAA